rnacentral:miRNA from 1 species
UAAUAUCAGCAGGUAAAUCGGAG